rnacentral:rRNA from 1 species
UUAAAUUGAAGAGUUUGAUCAUGGCUCAGAUUGAACGCUGGCGGCAGGCCUAACAUAUGCAAGU